rnacentral:rRNA from 1 species
UACGUAGGGUGCAAGCGUUGCCCGGAUUUAUUGGGCGUAAAGGGCGCGUAGGCGGCUCGGCACGUCCGUUGUGAAAUCGCCCGGCUCAACUGGGCGGGGUCAGCGGAUACGGCCGAGCUUGAGCAAGCUAGGGGGCAAUGGAAUUCCCGGUGUAGUGGUGGAAUGCGUAGAUAUCUGGAGGAACACCGGUGGCGAAGGCGGCAUCCUGGACCGGCAUUGACGCUGAGGAGCGAAAGCCAGGGGAGCAAACGGG